GACGAACGCUGGCGGCGUGCCUAAUACAUGCAAGUAGGACGCACAGCCUAUACCGUAGCUUGCUACACCAUAGGCUGUGAGUUGCGAACGGGUGAGUAACGCGUAGGUAACCUGCCUAUUAGAGGGGGAUAACUAUUGGAAACGAUAGCUAAUACCGCAUAACAGUAUGUAACACAUGUUAGAUGCUUGAAAGAUGCAAUUGCAUCGCUAGUAGAUGGACCUGCGUUGUAUUAGCUAGUAGGUAGGGUAAUGGCCUACCUAGGCAACGAUACAUAGCCGACCUGAGAGGGUGAUCGGCCACACUGGGACUGAGACACGGCCCAGACUCCUACGGGAGGCAGCAGUAGGGAAUCUUCGGCAAUGGGGGGAACCCUGACCGAGCAACGCCGCGUGAGUGAAGAAGGUUUUCGGAUCGUAAAGCUCUGUUGUUAAGGAAGAACGAGUGUGAGAAUGGAAAGUUUCAUACUGUGACGGUACUAAACC
rnacentral:rRNA from 1 species